UACGUAGGGUGCGAGCGUUAAUCGGAAUUACUGGGCGUAAAGCGUGCGCAGGCGGUUCGUUGUGUCGGCGGUGAAAGCCCCGGGCUCAACCUGGGAAUGGCAUUGGAAACUGGCGAUCUAGAGUGCGGUAGAGGGUAGUGGAAUUCCCGGUGUAGCAGUGAAAUGCGUAGAGAUCGGGAGGAACAUCUGUGGCGAAGGCGACUGCCUGGACCAGCACUGACACUGAGGCACGAAAGCGUGGGGAGCAAACAGG
rnacentral:rRNA from 1 species